rnacentral:rRNA from 1 species
UACGUAGGGUGCAAGCGUUGUCCGGAAUUAUUGGGCGUAAAGAGCUCGUAGGCGGUCUGUCGCGUCGGCUGUGAAAACCCGAGGCUCAACCUCGGGCCUGCAGUCGAUACGGGCAAACUAGAGUACUGCAGGGGAGACUGGAAUUCCUGGUGUAGCGGUGAAAUGCGCAGAUAUCAGGAGGAACACCGGUGGCGAAGGCAGCACUCUGGGACGUGACUGACGCUGAGACGCGAAAGCGUGGGGAGCAAACAGG